GAUGAACGCUAGCGGCAGGCCUAACACAUGCAAGUCAGGGGUAACAUAGGAAAGCUUGCUUUUCUGAUGACGACCGGCGCACGGGUGCGUAACGCGUAUACAACCUACCUUUUAGCGGGGAAUAGCCCAGGGAAACUUGGAUUAAUGCCCCAUAGUAUAUAGACUUCUCCUGAAGUUUAUAUUAAACAUUUAUGGCUAUUAGAUGGGUAUGCGUCCUAUUAGUUAGUUGGUAAGGUAACGGCUUACCAAGGCAGCGAUAGGUAGGGGUCCUGAGAGGGAGACUCCCCACACUGGUACUGAGACACGGACCAGACUCCUACGGGAGGCAGCAGUGAGGAAUAUUGGACAAGUGGGCGAGAGCCUGAUCCAGCCAUGCCGCGUGCAGGAAGACUCGCCCUAGUGGGUUAGUAAACUGUCUUUUACAGAGGAAGAACCCACCCCACGUGUGGGGGUUUGACGGUACUCUGCGAAUAAGGAUCGGCUAACUCCGUG
rnacentral:rRNA from 1 species